GCAGCAUGUGUCUAAAUAACACAAACACACCGGCCUGUCUGUACCCAGUGGUAAUUGCUAGCGCUGCAAUGCCAUGAUCCUCCCAAUUCAGGGGCAGCAUCCCAUCACAGCUCCGCGACUAGGCUGUCCCAGUUCGAAGGCUCCUUCAAAACACGAGAAAUGCGUCCUUCCAUUUCCAAGCAAGGGAUCCAACGGGUGGAUCCUUCCUGUGCCAACCCAUUCCAGGAUGAGCAGCCAAGUGCUACUUCAUAUGCUUUUGAAUUAACUGUGAAGCCUUUGAUGAGUUCCUUCCCGUCAUGUAUAUUUCCUUCUCUAAGUGGUGAUAUUUCACACAUUAAACGCAUCUUCACUUA